UAUAUUUACAUAUUCUUAAAUCCAUUCCUUUACUUAGAUUUGUGUGUAUUGGGUAUAUGUUGUGAAAUUGUUAGAUAUUACUGCACUGUCGGGGGCUAGAAACGCACGCAUUUUCUACAUCCGCAAUAACAUUUGCUAAACACGUGUAUGUGACCGAUACAAUUUGAUUUGAUAUGAUUUGAGCCUUCAGACAAGUAAAAAAUGGUUACUAUCAAGCCCUGAUAACACAUAAAGGGUGAAGUCUACCUUCGGUCACUUCGGUGAUUCUAUAAUUACUAGAUGAAGGCUUUGAAAAAAUAUAUUUCUGUGUUGUAAUUAAUCAUUGGACAGUAACGAAAAUGUCUGUUAUUAAUGAUUAAAUCCAUAAUUUCCUUUAAAAAACAUGCUGUGUUGCCCCUCCCAUUUCUGUCUACCGAACAAAUGUAACUAUUCUUACAGUAAGUAGUAUGUAAGAAGUGUUUUGUAAGGGAGGUCCCUGUUAUCUCAAUGUUGAUAGGCCUGUAUUAGUGGUGCGCGGGUCAGUUGUUUGUUCACCCGCCCCCACGCAAUUUAAUAACCCAUCUGCAACCGCACGACUAUAUGUGAUAGUGAAAAUAUGAGGUCCUCACCCAACCCAAACCCGCCAAUAUAGAAAAUGUGUGUAUGCUACAGUCAGAGACCGCAGAACGAUUUUUUUUACAGGGGUUGCAGGAUUUGGUUGUUGUUGCCUGAUAUUAUAUAUGUUUCUGCUUAUCAUUUCCGACAUUUUGGUAGGCUAUUUGUAAGUCAACUUGUCUGUGAUUAGAUACUUGCAGCUUCUCUUCUGUCAUUCUCCACUCCUGUUCUCUAGUCAAAAUGUAGCCUAUGUGUGUAGGCUUAUAAUUUUACUGCCAGAAAUGCUUAAUUCUGCGUAGGAGUUAAUAAUACAGCUAUGUGUGAGGUUAUAGACCUACAGUCAGUGUCCAGAUAUCAGUUUCCAUUUAACCCAUCUGAACAGUAGGCUACAGUUCCCUUGAUGUGCCAUAGGCUUAUUUGAAAUCCCUGUGUUGUGACUGGUGAGUUUGUAUAUCACCUCACAAUCAUCACACAUAACACGGCAGCACUGAUAUCAUCCUCUUUUACCACUUCAGCAAAUCUUUACCAAACAUUAGGCUACUGUUCUGUCUCUUCCAUCUCUACUACUUUUAUUUUCAACUGUCCAUUUCGCAGCUUUUCUCUUAUUGAAUUAAACAUGGCCCUUUUUGUUUUCUUGGAUCAACAACUGUUUCUGCCCUUUGCAAAAGCAUUAGGCAUGUAUGUUAUUUGGCAUGCUUGGCACACAUAUAGUUAUUUAAGCCUUGGACUUCGCACUAAUGCCAGGUAGCCUUAAAACCCCCUUGGGUAUAUUCAAAAUAACAUAAUAAAAACAUCCCCAUCAAAAUCCCUCAAUUUAAGCUACAGAUAUAAUAAAACAUUGCGUGGGCUGCGUCGCAAUCGACCACUCCGCCUAUGUCGCCCUUCCGCAGCUGUGGUGGGAAGUGGCAGAGCUAUAAGCUGUUUGUCAGACCAUGAGACAUCCCGAGAAUCGGUCAUCACACCAAAGCUUCUGUAGCAUCCGAACGGUUUGGCCUACAAACUAAUAUGAUCACUCUAUAGAAAGGGGAGACUCUCAUGAACACUAUGGAGUUCUUCGUUUUGUCAUGGGACUGGUCUAAAGGUAACCCACUGGUCUAAAGGUAACCCACUGGUUUAAAGGUAACCCACUGGUCUAAAGGUAACCCACUGGUCUAAAGGUAACCCACUGGUUUAAAGGUAACCCACUGGUCUAAAGGUAACCCACUGGUCUAAAGGUAACCCACUGGUCUAAAGGUAACCCACUGGUCUAAAGGUAACCCACUGGUCUAAAGGUAACCCACUGGUCUAAAGGUAACCCACUGGUCUAAAGGUAACCCACUGGUCUAAAGGUAACCCACUGGUUUAAAGGUAACCCACUGGUUUAAAGGUAACCCACUGGUCUAAAGGUAACCCACUAGUCUAAAGGUAACCCACUGGUUUAAAGGUAACCCACUGGUUUAAAGGUAACCCACUGGUCUAAAGGUAACCCACUAGUCUAAAGGUAACCCACUGGUCUAAAGGUAACCCACUGGUCUAAAGGUAACCCACUGGUCUAAAGGUAACCCACUGGUCUAAAGGUAACCCACUGGUUUAAAGGUAACCCACUGGUUUAAAGGUAACCCACUGGUCUAAAGGUAACCCACUGGUCUAAAGGUAACCCACUGGUCUAAAGGUAACCCACUGGUUUAAAGGUAACCCACUGGUCUAAAGGUAACCCACUGGUCUAAAGGUAACCCACUGGUCUAAAGGUAACCCACUGGUUUAAAGGUAACCCACUGGUUUAAAGGUAACCCACUGGUCUAAAGGUAACCCACUGGUUUAAAGGUAACCCACUGGUUUAAAGGUAACCCACUGGUCUAAAGGUAACCCACUGGUCUAAAGGUAACCCACUGGUCUAAAGGUAACCCACUGGUCUAAAGGUAACCCACUGGUCUAAAGGUAACCCACUGGUCUAAAGGUAACCCACUGGUCUAAAGGUAACCCACUGGUUUAAAGGUAACCCACUGGUCUAAAGGUAACCCACUGGUUUAAAGGUAACCCACUGGUCUAAAGGUAACCCACUGGUCUAAAGGUAACCCACUGGUUUAAAGGUAACCCACUGGUCUAAAGGUAACCCACUGGUUUAAAGGUAACCCACUGGUUUAAAGGUAACCCACUGGUCUAAAGGUAACCCACUGGUCUAAAGGUAACCCACUGGUUUAAAGGUAACCCACUGGUUUAAAGGUAACCCACUGGUCUAAAGGUAACCCACUGGUCUAAAGGUAACCCACUGGUUUAAAGGUAACCCACUGGUCUAAAGGUAACCCACUGGUUUAAAGGUAACCCACUGGUCUAAAGGUAACCCACUGGUUUAAAGGUAACCCACUGGUCUAAAGGUAACCCACUGGUUUAAAGGUAACCCACUGGUUUAAAGGUAACCCACUGGUCUAAAGGUAACCCACUGGUUUAAAGGUAACCCACUGGUCUAAAGGUAACCCACUGGUCUAAAGGUAACCCACUGGUCUAAAGGUAACCCACUGGUCUAAAGGUAACCCACUGGUCUAAAGGUAACCCACUGGUCUAAAGGUAACCCACUGGUCUAAAGGUAACCCACUGGUCUAAAGGUAACCCACUGGUCUAAAGGUAACCCACUGGUCUAAAGGUAACCCACUGGUCUAAAGGUAACCCACUGGUCUAAAGGUAACCCACUGGUCUAAAGGUAACCCACUGGUUUAAAGGUAACCCACUGGUUUAAAGGUAACCCACUGGUUUAAAGGUAACCCACUGGUUUAAAGGUAACCCACUGGUUUAAAGGUAACCCACUGGUUUAAAGGUAACCCACUGGUCUAAAGGUAACCCACUGGUCUAAAGGUAACCCACUGGUCUAAAGGUAACCCACUGGUUUAAAGGUAACCCACUGGUUUAAAGGUAACCCACUGGUUUAAAGGUAACCCACUGGUCUAAAGGUACACAUGAAUGGAAGUAUGGAGGUAGUUUUGUUCCAACAGAAAUACGGGGUUAAAUAUGUGUAAAAAUAUAUAGCGAGAUAUAUUUCCUGAGCUUUCUUAUAUCUCUUAGAUAUAGGACAGACACUUCAAAAACAUAUUCCUUAUGAUUUAUUUUUUGACUGUCUUUUUUGUUGUUGACAUUUAUCAAUGCGUUUCUAUGGGCUUUAGCAGUAAAGGCCAGAUGGACUAUAUGUUUUAUACCUAAAGGGGUCCUACAAUUCAAAAUCAAAUAGCUAAAUGAUCCAUGGUAUGACCUUCUUAAAACAAUCCCAUAUUUCAGACUUUUAAAAAUGAAAUAAUGAAGAAAAAAAAAGAAAUGUAGUGAAUAAUUUGUGUCAUUUUUAAAGGUAUUUUUUAUUUUUACUAAACCCUCCCGUCACCCACCCGCACUUCAUCCAGACAAUAUGUAAUGACCUUAAAGCCACCCUUCCCAAGGAUAUAAACGCAGCGACUGCAGGUUAUGAGUCUGCCUCCGCAUCGCUAAACUGUACUGCAAGCAGACUGCUGUAUGCCUGUUACCUGCAUUACCUUCAGUUACCACAGUUACAAGUAACACCAUGCAGACCGCAUCUUUUAGCUAGUUUAUAUCUUAGAAACAAAGAGUAGGUCUGUAUUGUUUUUGUUGCUUUACAAAGUCAUUUUAAUGCACAGUAAAUGAACAGUUUCUUAGGUUAUGAUUGGUUGCUCAGCCUCCUUUUCAUGUUCAGCCAGGCCACUGUGUUUAUAACCCUGCUAGACUCGUUCCCAACCAUAACAUUCUCUAUCACUACUCCACAGGUGCUGGUUACCGGUUUGUGUGAUCCUGUGUAUUGGACCCCAAGUCUCUUCGCAGGUCAACGUUGAAGGAUUCAAGGGAGAUAAUGUUAUCUUGCCUUGCACAUACAUUGAGAAGGCGCUUAAAAAUGUAAA